AUAAUUUCCUAGUAAUUUCUAAAACGGUGUAUUAGUUUAUAUUCUAAAUGCAACCCCACAGAGCUUUGAAAUUUGUAGCCUCCCUAACCUCAGAAAAAUCAGAUGAGAAAGAUGUAUUUUGGGGUCUCAUAUCCCUGAUGUAGGCUUUAUUGUGUCUGCAGUUUAAUCAUCCAGCUCUCACAGAGAGGGAAAGAUGAUUUUGUACUUCUAAGAUCAUCUCUAUGUUUACAUUACUCAGUCCACAAGGAUAUGAAAAUCCCAAACUGUCCCUCUGAAAAUCCAUUUAGUGGGUAGAAAAUACCAGUGCCAUGGAUCGAGCAUCCACUAGAAAGGAUGCUGAAUCUUGUUUUGACACUUUGAAUUGGAUCUGUAGCUUUGAGGUUGGACACAGAGACUUCCAAAUGGAAAGUAACUUGCUGUGUUUCUUCAUGUGGACAGAAUUCCCCAAAACAGAGAUAGAAGUCAGAACUGUGUGUUGAGAAAACAUUGCAAUGAUUGUGCUAUAGAGCGGAUUAUUUUACUGGAAUUUUUGCAUCUCUUUUUCUUUACAUAUUGUAUAACUGAUUCUGUUACAGAGGUGUCAAAAAUAGAAAACAUG
rnacentral:lncRNA from 1 species